GCCCCCGUAGCUCAAUUGGAUAGAGCGCCUGUCUUCGGAACAGGAGAUUCUGAGGGUUCGAGUCCUUCCGGGGGCA
rnacentral:tRNA from 2 species